rnacentral:rRNA from 1 species
UGCAGUCGAGCGGUAGAGAGAAGCUUGCUUCUCUUGAGAGCGGCGGACGGGUGANUAAUGCCUAGGAAUCUGCCUGGUAGUGGGGGAUAACGUUCGGAAACGGACGCUAAUACCGCAUACGUCCUACGGGAGAAAGCAGGGGACCUUCGGGCCUUGCGCUAUCAGAUGAGCCUAGGUCGGAUUAGCUAGUUGGUGNGGUAAUGGCUCACCAAGGCGACGAUCCGUAACUGGUCUGAGAGGAUGAUCAGUCACACUGGAACUGAGACACGGUCCAGACUCCUACGGGAGGCAGCAGUGGGGAAUAUUGGACAAUGGGCGAAAGCCUGAUCCAGCCAUGCCGCGUGUGUGAAGAAGGUCUUCGGAUUGUAAAGCACUUUAAGUUGGGAGGAAGGGCNNUUACCUAAUACGUGAUNGUUUUGACGUUACCGACAGAAUAAGCACCGGCUAACUCUGUGCCAGCNGCC